rnacentral:lncRNA from 1 species
AUUGCAAUAGGAGCACACAGGCAGAUCCCCAUGGGCCAUAUGCUGGCAGGGACAGAGUCCGCCUGUCCCAGAAAGGAAUCUUUCUUCCUCUGUGCUCUAAAAAGCAUUCCCCAACCCUGAAGCAGGAGUAAAGAAACAAAAUAACCACAGCGAUUCUGUGUUUGUUUGCUUUCAUACAAUGGGAUGAGAGGGAGAGGCACCGAACAGCUCCAUGGCCGGACCUCAACCCGAGCAGGGGCAGGCAGAGCCAUCCCGCUGCAGGCUGGGAGCGGGGCAGGCUGGGAGCAGCGUGCAACCAGGAGCUCUUGUACCUGACAGCGUAUUUUCCCCUCUUGCAGAAUCGCUUCUGACCAUAAUCACACUUCAGAGUGAAAUCGGAGGUGGUGUCAGUUCUUGGUUUCACAGCACGGCCGCAUUAGUAUGCGAGUACGAGGCACGCAGCAGAAAUAUUCCUGCCUGCAGAGAGCUCUUGGAUAGAAGCAUUAAGGAGGGGAGUGAGAAGCAAGAAAUGGAAAAAUGUUCUUUGCCAAUAAAUAAAGCAUCAGGCACAUCUUCAGCUGCGGGAUUAACACCCCGUCCCUGCGCAGCGCAGCCCUCGCAUUCAUGGCCACUAUGGACCGAGCCCGCCUGACCCAGUCUGCCCGUGAUCGUCCCCACUGCAGGGACAGCCGUGGGACAGCUCCCACCAGCAGCACCGCAGCCACCCCAUGUCACAGAGCCACAGCAUCAUUCAGGAUGGAAAAGCCCUCUCAGAUCCCCACCCCACCGCACCCCAUGUCCCUGGGCAGCUGUGCCCGUGCAUCACCGCUCUAUUGGAGGAGCAAUAGUUCCUGAUACCCUGCGCUGUGAGCCCAGCCAGGUACGCGUGCCACAAGGCCCCCCCAGAGCUGGGUGUGUAUUAUUACAUCUACAGCAGAAAUUGAACCAGGGUGAUCCCGCUCCAAAUUGUUCGACUGCAUCGAAACGACGUGGCAGAUGCACUCACUUUUGAGCGGUGUGUUUGUUUGCCACAUAAACUUGGGUCACUGGGGUUGUACUGCAGCUCAUUAAUUAAUGCAUCUCUGCUUUAGAUCUGGCCGCAACGCUGCUGGCCAAUGCCAUGGGAAUGUUGUUCUGCAAAGGAACAGACACGCCAGUGCUGGCCACGCUCUGAUUUUCUGGUCUACAAACAGCACCGCUAUUUAUUCUGGAUUUCCAUACAAAGCUAAAAUUCUCUGCAAAAUAAAAAUUCCAAUAAAAUUCUUUCA